GGUGAUAUUCUUAUGCACUCGUGCUUGUCGAAUCACGAGACGGGAUAUUCACGAUGCCGAGACGGCUUCGCCAGUAUUCACUGAUCGUGGGAUGCUGCCAACUCUUUAACACCGUUAACUAUAGACAACGCAACGUCAGGGUAUUUCUGGGACCCGACGCGUUCUCUACUUAGUCCGCGUUGAGGCUAAGCUGUCUCCUCUCGUACCGAAGUGCGAGCCGAGCAGCUCCCAGAAUUCGAGUUCUCCCCGGACGAGCAGUCGAACGAUUGUCGCCGGCCGCGAAUUCUAAUCAUAUGUGAAUCAGGUGGAUAACUAAGAGAGAAGCAUGAGUGAAAAGCGAAGACCGAGCCGGAAGCGACUCGAGGAGUCGGGCAGAUCUGAAAAGUCUAAGGAAGUCAGAAGAAGGCCGAAGACUGACGUCAGAAUCGGGUCCAGUGAUGAUUUUCAACCUGAGAUAGCCACAAAAGCACCGAUGACAUCGCUAGACGAGAAUGUGAACCGUAUACAUCGGGAGAAUAAGACGGCCGUGAACGCCGGGCAGCUGAGAGGACGAGAGAGGAUAGAAAGACUUCCACCGAUGGACGACGACAGUGGAGAUAACAGAAGCUCAGGACGACCUGUUCAGGUUGUUCUUGCCCACCCUGAUCAUACCUUUGAAUUGGACGAGGAAGCCCUGGCGGAAAUUCUUCUUCAGGAUGAGAUUAAGGAUCGCAGUGUCGUCGUGGUGUCUGUUGCAGGAGCCUUUAGGAAGGGCAAGAGCUUCCUUCUCGAUUUCUUCCUUCGAUAUAUGAAUAGCCAGUAUGGAGAAACGGGGAGUCGCGACAAUUGGUUGGGCAGCGACGAUGAGCCUCUGAGCGGUUUUUCUUGGAGAGGUGGAUCCGAGAGAGACACGACGGGGAUCUUAAUGUGGUCUAAAGUUUUUCCUGGCACUUUAUCAAAUGGAGAAAAGGUCGCUAUCAUCCUCAUGGACACGCAGGGUGCUUUCGACAGUCAAUCAACUGUCAGAGACUGUGCGACUGUGUUUGCUUUGAGUACGAUGCUGUCCUCGGUGCAAAUUUUCAAUCUGUCCCAAAAUAUUCAAGAAGACGAUCUUCAACACUUGCAACUAUUUACGGAGUACGGUAGACUGGCCCUUGAAAAAUCUGGCAGCACACCCUUCCAGAGGUUACAGUUCCUCGUACGGGAUUGGAGCUAUCCUUAUGAGGCUGAUUACGGUGCCGAUGGUGGCAAGAAGAUUCUCAGCAGAAGAUUAGAGAUAUCAGACAGACAACAUCCUGAGUUGCAGAGUCUUAGAAAACACAUUAAAUCUUGUUUCUCGGAUAUAUCCUGCUUCCUCCUGCCACAUCCAGGGUUGAAGAUCGCCACGAAUCCAAAAUUCGACGGUAGAUUAUCAGAAAUUGAGGCGGAGUUCAAAAAGCAACUGGAAACUCUUGUACCGAUGUUACUAGCUCCACGGAAUUUAGUUACAAAGAAAAUUGAUGGCCAAGUAGUAAAGGCGAAAGAGUUAUUGGAGUACUUUAAAAGCUACAUCAAAAUUUAUAAAGGAGACGAACUUCCGGAACCAAAGAGCAUGCUUGUGGCGACUGCAGAAGCCAAUAAUUUAUCCGCAGUGGCCGAGGCAAAGGAUCUUUAUAUGCAGAUGAUGGAAUGCGUUUGCGGUGGAGCCAAACCGUUUUUAGCGACUGCUCACCUGGAGUCAGAACAUCAUCGAUGCGUGGACAAGGCGCUUUAUCAAUUUCAAAAUAAACGAAAAAUGGGAGGCGAUGCGUUCAGCCAGACGUAUCUAGAGAAAUUACAAAAAGACAUGGACGAAGCAUAUUUGCAGUUCAAGGCGCACAACGAGAGUAAAAAUAUUUUUAAGGCUGCGCGAACACCAGCAGUGUUUUUCGCCAUUGCCGUCACAAUGUAUAUCCUAUCAGGAAUAUUUGGUCUUGUCGGUUUAUACACCUUCUCAAAUAUAUGCAACCUUAUUAUGGGUAUUGGACUACUUACCCUUGUACUCUGGGCAUACAUUAGGUACAGUGGAGAAUUCCGAGAGCUUGGCACACAGAUAGACGAGUUAGCUAGCGGAAUAUGGGAAAAUAUUAAGUUUUUACGAAUGAUUCUGAAUACCCUUAAAUUUGUUAACGAUGCUAUUUCCACGUACAAUUGCGUUUCGUAAGUUCCUUCAUAUCGCUCCGUCUUUUUGUUGCCUUGCACUUUACGUUCUGUUUCACUGUCUCUUUGUUCUCUAAUAUACGCUGCGUAUUAAAAUGGGAUCGAGGGUCAGAAAGUUCAUGAAGCCGGUGUAUCAGCAAUUUGUGGAGAAAUCAGUGUCUGUGGCGGUGGCGCAGGCUGCUGAAAUGGCAACGAACACCACAAUGAAUGCCACUGUCACUGCCAACGGCAAGGCUAAACUGUCAUAAUAGUCAUUCCCUCCAUAAUCCUCGGUCGCUCUUAUUCUUUGCCUUUGCCUAUCUUAUAAAAGUGUCUUCUUGAAGCAUAGCGCAAUAACGGUACGCUAACCGAUAUCAAUAAACACUUUUGGCACGAGUAUAUUCCUGAGUCAGUUGCUUCUUUUUUACGUGUUUAUUCUUAAAACAAAUAAUUUCUUUUGGCAAAUGAAUACGCGUGUAGUUACGGUAUAAUGGAGCUGAGAUGAUAGCGAAUGCAUGUACAGUAUAUCCUGAUUACGAAUCAGUGUUAGAUUGUUGAAAGUCAUGGUUAUUAUUAUUACUGUGUCUAUGGUCAUAUUAUAUUGUUAUAGAAAUAAACUCUUAUAUGAAUAAGUAAUAUUUCUCAUGAUAGUGCGAUCCAAAAGUUUUUGUCCACGCGUACAAUGAUUUCUUGCCCGAAAUACAAUGAAAGGAAAAAUUGUGCGUUACAAGAAGCUUUUCCAGACAAGAUCCGAUAAAUGUUUGUGAUAAAUUUAUACUGUGCUCAUUGAAAAAUUUGUAUGGAUAGUUGCUCACUUCCUUAGGCGACUAGUGUAAUUUUGCGAAGGAAAUUUAUUAAUAAAUGAUGCGUGAUACCUGUCGAGUGAAUGCAGACGGCUAUGCGCGUCAGGAAACUUUGGGCCGAACUGUUUCUAGUUAUUAUAUUAUAUCACACGUUAUAUUUGUAUUUUUUUCUUUCUUUUAAAUUGUUUUCAAGACUUUUUUUACUGUAACCAUGUCGAUGAAGUUCAGAUUAUCCUUUUGCCAGAAAUUUCCUAUAUUGAUUAAUGUACUGAAUUACUUUUAGUAACAAAAAAAAAAGAUAAGGCUAUGCAAAUGUCGUGAGGUCUUUACAUUUUACGAUUUCUCAGGGUUUUGCAUAAGGUAGUAUACAGGGUGGGCUUGAACAGCACAUCCCGUGAAGUCAUGCCAUAUUAUCGUAUACUAUUAAUCAUUUCGAUGCUCCCUGCAAUUUGAGUUCAAUUUUUCAUCAGAAUCUAAUUAUUGACUUUACUAUAUCUUGCCGCUGUGAAUAACAAUAUUAGCGAUUUUUUUCAAUUCCAUUAAAUAAUAAUAAGAUUUAUUAACAAGUUAGUGUACUUAUAUUAUAGAUUUAAUUAUAGUUUGCAUACAGUCUUAAUUUCUGGGUAUAAUUCAAGGAUAUAAUUUAACUCAUGUAUAGAGAGUUUAACUGUGUUUAAAGAAAUGUAGGGUCUCAUUAGAAUCUAAUUAAUCGAAUAGGAAACCGAAUUCACUUAUGCAGCUGAACGCUAAUGGAUUACGAUGAUUUACUAAAGACGUUUUUUUUCAACUACAAUAGAGCCAAACGCGAUACUAAGGUGAUGGUUUUCGCUGGCAAUUGUGGGUUGCCCAAUAAUUGUGUAUUCUGUUGUAAAUUAUUUAAAAUAAAGCUAUUACUAUUCUGUACUAUAAAA